rnacentral:rRNA from 1 species
UACGGGGGGAGCAAGCGUUGUUCGGAUUUACUGGGCGUAAAGGGCGCGUAGGCGGCCACCGCAAGUCGACUGUGAAAUCUCCGGGCUUAACCCGGAAAGGUCAGCCGAUACUGCGGGGCUAGAGUGCAGAAGGGGCAACUGGAAUUCUCGGUGUAGCGGUGAAAUGCGUAGAUAUCAAGAGGAACACCUGCGGCGAAGGCGGGUUGCUGGGCCGACACUGACGCUGAAGCGCGAAAGCCAGGGGAGCGAACGGG